CUCCACCGGUGCAGCUCCACCCCUUUCUCCCCCAUCUAUCCCCAACACCUCCUCUCCGUUCUCAUCCUAUGUUCGCCCCUGCGGCUAACCCUAGCCGCCAACUCGUGUUGCGAGCACUGAGGAUGGGAGCGGGGCGGCCGCCUCACGGGGUGGAGCGGCUGGGGCGUCACCACUUGGGUGCAGAAGCAGUGGCAGCGGUGGCGCUGUGCUGUGGCGGAGGAGAAGGAUAGCGAUGUGGUGGUUCGAGCCUGGAGAGUAGCGCUGUCCUAUAUUGAGGUGGACUCCGAUGAGAAGCGCCUAAACAAGCUUGGUUACAAGGAAGAGCUCCGGAGGGAGAUGACGCUGGCCAUCACUUUCUCCAAGAUGACGAUCUUCACUGGGAUCACGUCUUUGUACGGUAGCAUCCUCCAAUUCGUGAGGCCGGCCAGCCUCGUGCGGGGCUGGGUCAUCGUCUCCUUCUUCACCUGGUUCAUCGGUGUCGUCAUGUUGGGGAUUUCUCCUUCCCUUUCUUUGAACCUCUAACUACUGAAGCUGAAAAUGAGGGUCACGAUUGUUUGUAUGCAACAGUUCAGGUAGCAAAGUCCUGGUGCUGCAUGAACCGUAACAUUCAGGUUAGCAGGGAAAAAAAUCAGUGUUUGAGACCACAUGGCAGGUUAAAUGACGAGCUAAAUAUUCAUCUUACAUGUACUAAACCAUCCUUAUUGAUUGCAAACAUGUAAACUUUGCACUAGUGUUUUUAUACAUAAUGGGGAAAGUGGGAUCCCUUGUCUUCAGGUCAUUAAUUUUUACCUUGAAUUGUUAAAGGAGAGGGGAAUAAAAAAACCCAAAAGGUUCUCUAAAUGCAGCUUCUUCAAUACAUUUUCUUGACAGUUGAUGGACGGAUCCAGUAGGCCUUGGUAGUGCCAAGCGUGUUUGAAUCCACUAUUGCUAAGCGUGUUUGAAACCACUAUUGCUUGAGUCAUUCUUCCGGUCUCUCAUUGGUACGUGGGCCGUACCCCACAUAACAUUAUGUUUCUUUGAUAAAUUUACUGAUGUGCAGGUCGGACCAUUCCGAGAAUCAGACCUACCAAUAUGAGAGGUUAAAUGCAAGAAACGAGAAUAAGGAAGUAGCUUUCUUUGAUGACGAAGAUACAAAACCCGCUGAAUCCGUUGAUGUCAAGGUGGCUAAUAAACGGCAAAUUGGUAACACGAUAAGUGAUAAUAAUUUUGCCUACUAACAUUUCAUCACUAUAUGUUUUAAAAUAGUGACCAAUCAUAAAAUGUAGUAGUAAUUUACAUUGUUGGAUAGAUAGGUACUAUGAGGGUCGAUAGGUAUUACAAGUGGUGGUGGAUGAAGGGGCAAGUAUCACUAGAAAUGGAGUUGCACAUGAGAACUAUUUUCAUAGAUUUUGUUAAAGUUAUUAAAAUGUGUAUGGUAAGACAAGAUGGGACUUUUGAACGACAAUAGUGCUAGAGAAUGGGUGGAUCAAGAGAAUGAAAGUGGAGGAAAAGUAAAGGUAGGGAGAAAUAUGACACUUUGUCUUCUUGUAGGAGGAGGAUGGUUACCGAUGCUGGACGACUACCAGGGAAGAAAGAAGCGGAAUAGAGAGUUGUUAUUGCUCAUUAUAAUGACGACCUAUUGUUAGACCAUGCGUCGCUGCUCCCGCUAAACUGUGCUUCUCUUUUGACAGCAGAGAAGUCUCAAGGUGGAAGGUUGGGGCCGAGAAGCACUAAGUUCUGUGUUGGCUUAUAUACUGCUAGCUAUCAAAGAUUUGACAAUUGAGAUGCUAGAGAACACAAGAACCGGGUGCUAUCAGCGACUGACGGCUGGCGAGCAGUUGAGGUAGCCAGGAACCAUCCUUGAGAAAAGAUUGGUGCUGGAAUACAGUGGAAGGAGCCUCUGUCGCGGGGAUGACGAUCAGGUGACUGGUGUGGGAAAUGGCAGCUCUCAGUCAAUGCAGGAUGGCAUGAUAAAAGAAGUUGUUAGCACCGAGCCACCGACAGAUGAGCAGAUGGAUUUCGUUAUCCGGGUGAUAGCACAGACGAGCAGAUGGAUUUCAUUAUCCGGGUGAUAGCAAGGAAGCUGAAGAGCAUGAUGGACAAGGGACAGACGGAAAAGAGUUGCAGGAUGGACAAGGGAUGAAUGAAAAGGAGUAGGAGGAAGCAAGUUAUAACAAAUAUGGAUCUGGUGCAUCAGAGAAUAACAUUGCUGGAACACAUAUUACUGCAAGCCUUACAUCUUCUUUCAAAAAGGUAAAAUUUAUUAGAGAAGACCAAUCUAUUGGUUGACAAAGACGAUCAAGCCCUUUCCCCUUCUAAAGGAGGUGGUAUAUUACUGGAAGUCUGUGAAUCCCCUUCUAAGCGGGUAAAUUAGUGGAAGACUAUGUAUCAUGGGUACAUACCUGACAUGUCUGGGUCAUCUUAUUUAAAUGUAGGACACAAAAUUAACCUAGGAACUAACCUUGUUCCAGCACAUCUAUAUUACUACUACUCAGUAUCUAACCUUUUGUGUGUGGGAAAACUCAGGAUGUAAACUGAUACUUCGUAUGAAGGUAAAAUAUUUGUGCACUGAAUGAACUGAGAAUAGAGGUGAUAUUAUUUUUUGUAAAAAUCUAAGUUUUUCGAUGACUUCUCCCAAAGACACCGCAGCCAUCUUAAUAGGAAAACUUGAUCAGACUUACCCAGAGUAUGCUAUUCUCUCUCUAACAAUAAUUAAUUUUUGUAAGGAGACAUUACCGGGAUGUAAGGAGACUUGCCCAUGGUAUGUUUUCUCUCUCUCUAACAAUAAUUAUCUUGUGUACUACUUAGAUAACUUGUUAAAUGUUUUGUACUGCUCGAUCACACAUAUCAUAUUUAUGUGGUAAGAAAGGAAUUGUUAGCUGAAACAAAUAAUGUUGUGUGUUGGUGUCAUGUAGGUGACGGCAAUGGAUGUCAUGUAGAAACUACAUAUUGUGUGUUGGAUAUUUGUUUUCUGAAUUUAACUCUUUGUUGAUAACUUCUCUUUUUAUUUGUGAAGAAUUUCUUCACAUCCUGUAUCAUGAGCAAAUUAUUUUGAGAUAUAUAAAUAUAUUUUCUAGACGUGGAAUAUAUUUCAAGAUCUAUGAUAGAAACUGCUAGAGCAUCUUCGACAAUUGGAUUUUUUCAGUUACUCUUUUUACGGGUUUUGUAAGCUCUGUUGAUAGUGAUGGUGAGUUAGGCUCAUUCGGAGGUAAAUACAGAAAACUGAGAUAAGAUACUAUCACUUGCUUUUAUGGGUAUUGGUUAGGGUUAUGGUUUUUAUGUGACUGAUUAGGAGGGUGCAAAUUGGGACAACUUGCUUUCAACCAUCUGAAUGUUGUGAUACAUGACUGCGAAAGGAUUGGAUACACCACAUACAUCAGGUAAACAACAUGUACCCAUCUGAUUACCACAUACAUCAGGUAAACAACAUGUACCUAUCUGAUUUCACACUUGCACACAUGCCAUACGCUAUUGUCCCAUUUUAAAAAUAUGUUUCUUCACAACCUGGUUGACACCAAUGCGCUCAAGUCACUUUAUUUAGUCGAAACACAACUGAAGAGAAGAACAUGAUUUUUCCAUAAGUACAACCCCAAGCAUGUAUAUUAAUGACUGGCGUUAUUGAAAUUAUUUACAUAGAAGAUGGGCAACUAUCUUAUAAUCAGUAUCUAAUUUUCUUGAUUUAUAAUUUAUCUUAUUAAUCUCUGUGGUCGAGCUUCUAGCCCCCCCCUUCUUUCUCCGGAUGAAAGUCUUGCCUUUUGGUAGGACGACGGAGGCGCUCUCGCGUCUCGGUCCUCCCUCGAGGCGCCGUUCAAGGGGUGGUUGGGGGCUGUGGUCCUGGUGCGUGCUGGUGGGUGGCGGCGGUGCUCGGCUCCUCCCCUCAUUCCCGGUGUUGGUGGUGGCGUGUUGGUCCUUUCACAACUUUCAGCAGCUCCUCGCCUUGUUUGCUGAUUGGUUGCCGGUGGUGGGGGUCCGCCUGUUGGAACGGUCUGGACGAAGGGGAGAUAGUUGUCUUCCCUCCGGCAGUGGCCCGAGGCGGCGGGUGGCAGAGUCAAUGUUUUCGUUCAAGCUGUCUGGAUCUUCACAUCCACGCCAAUUGAUGUCGUCAGGUGGCUUCGGCCCUGCUGUUCUGGCUGGGCGAGACCUCCGGCAGCUUGAUCGCAAUUUCUCCUGGUGCUUUGUUCGUGCUGCCCCUGGGCGUAGUGAAUUUGGCUUGUAAUUUUUCAGUUUUUGGCAAGUCUUUGCCUUUGUAAUCAGCACCACAGUAUCCUAGCUGGUUGAUGACUUUAUUAACUUGAAGUCAGACCUCCGUGCCUUUUCUCUACAAAAAAAUUCCCUCACAUUCCAUUCUUAAGUAAUAAUAAAUUUCUUGAGGUCA